GAUGAACGCUGGCGGCGUGCCUAAUACAUGCAAGUCGAGCGAACGGACGAGAAGCUUGCUUCUCUGAUGUUAGCGGCGGACGGGUGAGUAACACGUGGAUAACCUACCUAUAAGACUGGGAUAACUUCGGGAAACCGGAGCUAAUACCGGAUAAUAUUUUGAACCGCAUGGUUCAAAAGUGAAAGACGGUCUUGCUGCCACUUAUAGAUGGAUCCGCGCUGCAUUAGCUAGUUGGUAAGGUAACGGCUUACCAAGGCAACGAUGCAUAGCCGACCUGAGAGGGUGAUCGGCCACACUGGAACUGAGACACGGUCCAGACUCCUACGGGAGGCAGCAGUAGGGAAUCUUCCGCAAUGGGCGAAAGCCUGACGGAGCAACGCCGCAUGAGUGAUGAAGGUCUUCGGAUCGUAAAACUCUGUUAUUAGGGAAGAACAUAUGUGUAAGUAACUGUGCACAUCUUGACGGUACCUAAUCAGAAAGCCACGGCUAACUACGUGCCAGCAGCCGCGGUAAUACGUAGGUGGCAAGCGUUAUCCGGAAUUAUUGGGCGUAAAGCGCGCGUAGGCGGUUUUUUAAGUCUGAUGUGAAAGCCCACGGCUCAACCGUGGAGGGUCAUUGGAAACUGGAAAACUUGAGUGCAGAAGAGGAAAGUGGAAUUCCAUGUGUAGCGGUGAAAUGCGCAGAGAUAUGGAGGAACACCAGUGGCGAAGGCGACUUUCUGGUCUGUAACUGACGCUGAUGUGCGAAGGCGUGGGGAUCAAACAGGAUUAGAUACCCUGGUAGUCCACGCCGUAAACGAUGAGUGCUAAGUGUUAGGGGGUUUCCGCCCCUUAGUGCUGCAGCUAACGCAUUAAGCACUCCGCCUGGGGAGUACGACCGCAAGGUUGAAACUCAAAGGAAUUGACGGGGACCCGCACAAGCGGUGGAGCAUGUGGUUUAAUUCGAAGCAACGCGAAGAACCUUACCAAAUCUUGACAUCCUUUGACAACUCUAGAGAUAGAGCCUUCCCCUUCGGGGGACAAAGUGACAGGUGGUGCAUGGUUGUCGUCAGCUCGUGUCGUGAGAUGUUGGGUUAAGUCCCGCAACGAGCGCAACCCUUAAGCUUAGUUGCCAUCAUUAAGUUGGGCACUCUAAGUUGACUGCCGGUGACAAACCGGAGGAAGGUGGGGAUGACGUCAAAUCAUCAUGCCCCUUAUGAUUUGGGCUACACACGUGCUACAAUGGACAAUACAAAGGGCAGCGAAACCGCGAGGUCAAGCAAAUCCCAUAAAGUUGUUCUCAGUUCGGAUUGUAGUCUGCAACUCGACUACAUGAAGCUGGAAUCGCUAGUAAUCGUAGAUCAGCAUGCUACGGUGAAUACGUUCCCGGGUCU
rnacentral:rRNA from 1 species